UGCACCACAUAGUCAGUCCAAAAGAUUAAGUCUGUGUAUCUGACAGUGAAAGGUACAUCAGGAAUGACUUAGAUCAGUUAUUUUCAAACUGCUCUAUAGAACCUAUUUAGUGUUCUGAGCAGAGGGCAUGGAAGGCAUUCAGUAUUCUAGGGGAGGCAUGGCAGGGGGCUACAGCUAAGUGCUAUGAUUUUACCUAUUUAGCAGAUCUGCCCCUCCCCAUAAGAUUUAAUUAAAGGAUUUCAGAGCCAAAAUACUGAAUUUACAAAAAACACUUGCAGUUCUGCUUCUUAGGAUGUAGAAAGCAAAAGCAACAUCCACCUGAACAAGAAAAGGCUGUAUAACCUACAAAGGCUACUUUACCCCAUCAAAGAACUAAAGUUGUAAAGCAACCAAGCGAACUGAACUCCAGAGUGCAAUGGUGGAGUAUGGGCAUGUGAUCCGAUUCUGCUGAAUGAAACAUGGAAGAUUGUGCUGGAGACACAUGGGAAAGGUUUCCUCACUCUUGGGAGAGAGGAAGAAAUGGUAUACCCUUUCCAUGUCCGUUUGUGAUAACCACAGCAGCUGCAACAGUCUUACUCUCGGCUUGAGGAUGAGGAGGCUUUCUGAGGCAAAUGCUUGAGUUCUGACACUCUACGUGCCUGUCCUGCUUCGGAAGUCUAGACCACCAGACUUCAUUUCCUUACAGUGCUUCCUGAGCUCAGACUCUUCUGUUACAAGCAUUCUUCAGUGUCACACUGAAAUUUCACCAGCUACCAGACCCAGGACAUAUAAAGGGAUUAACAUAGACAAAAAGACUCAGGCCAAGUAGAGAAGAAAAAGAUGCCUGCUU